UACGUAGGGUGCGAGCGUUGUCCGGAAUUACUGGGCGUAAAGAGCUCGUAGGUGGUUUGUCGCGUCGUCUGUGAAAUUCCGGGGCUUAACUUCGGGCGUGCAGGCGAUACGGGCAAUACUUGAGUGCUGUAGGGGAGACUGGAAUUCCUGGUGUAGCGGUGGAAUGCGCAGAUAUCAGGAGGAACACCGAUGGCGAAGGCAGGUCUCUGGGCAGUUACUGACGCUGAGGAGCGAAAGCAUGGGUAGCGAACAGGAUUAGA
rnacentral:rRNA from 1 species